UAAUUUUGCCUUUUGCCUUGUGAUCUUUGCUUUGCCCUUUGCCUUGUGAUCUUUAUCCCCCUUUGAAGCAUGUGAUCGUUGUGACCUAUUCCCUGUUCGUACAUCCACUCCCCUUUUGAAGUCCUUAAUAAAAACCUGCUGGUUUUGCUGCUCAGGUGGGCAUCACAGACCUUCCAACAUGUGAUUUCACCCCCGGUAGCACAGUUGUAAAUUUGUCUCUUUGUACUCUUUCUCUUUAUUUCUCAGACCUGCCAACACUUAGGGAAAAUAGAAAGAACACAUGUUGAAAUAUUGAGGGUGGGUUCCCCCGAUACCACAGGCCCCCAGCAGAUGACGAGGACAUUGUAGACUCAACAUGUCAUGCCACUCAUUUCCUUUGGUGAUGAUCCUAGCAGCCAUUUUUCUUAACAUCUUCUGUCACUUUCUCUCAGUGGUAAUGAAAGGAAUUCCUGCACACGUUUUAACUGAACAAGAAAUCCCAGCAAAAAAAAAAAAAAAAAAAAAAGAGUUAUUUCUGCUUCUUUGAUUGUGGAAAACAAACACUUCUCUGAAGCAUGACCUUAUUCUUCCGAGCAGUAUUGCUAGUAAACUAGCAUGCUGGACUUCAGAUCUCAGGGAUCUUUUCCAUGCACUAACCAAGAAUUGUAUUAAUCCUUUUUACUGUUAUGCUUUUUUACAGUUUCUCAUUCUGUCAACCAUAUUGGAGUGAAGUGGCAUAAUCAUCACUCACUGUAAUCUCCAACUCCUGGGCUCAAGUGAUCCUCUAGACUCAACCUCUAGAAUAGCUGCAAGUACACGCGCAUGCCACCAUGCCUGGCAAAUUGUUUGAUUUUUGGGUAGAGACUGGGUCUUCCUAUGUUGCCCUAUAUAGAGAAUUAAUGGGAUUUCAUUCUUCUGACAUGUUAUAUUUAAUAAUAAAACUAGGGAUGCUGCUAGAUAUCUUUUGGAGACAGAGAUUUUAAAGAUCACUCUUAAUUUAUAAGCAGUCUGGCUGUCAGUCUUCACCACUGUCCUGAUGUCCUGGGCCAGCAGAUAUUCCUGCCUCUAUCCCUGCUUCCAGAAUGUGAUGCUUUCUGGUUUGUCCCUAGCCCACUCCAGGCUUGGCAGUGGCUUUUCUCAUCAUUCUUCAGCCCUGAUCAUGCUCACUUCUAGUGAAAGAAAUCCUCACCACAGAUACAUCUCUAUUUGUAAAUGUUAUUCUAUUCCCCCAUAGACAAAAGAUCAGAAGCAGAAUAUAUAAAGAACUACUAGAAACUAAUAAAAUGCACCUAAUUCUUCAGGAAAUGCUGUGAGCAAUUCAGAGAUCCUAAAGAAACCUGUGAAAGCUUUUAUAGCUCUAAUACAAUCAAGAAAACGAUGGUCUACCCCUGUAUACUCAUCUUACCAACAAAUUUUUUUAGUCUGUCUCUACCAAUUGGUGGACAGGAAAUGGAAUAUCAGAGACUUCUUACAUUGUGGGUAAGAGUCCAGAUUGAAUCACUUUUUUGAUGUCUACUCAGGUAGUAUCCAGGAGAGUGGACGCUGUGCUCAUCCCACUAACCAGCAAUCCCAGAGUCAGUUCUGGGUUCCAAACAUGUUCCAGAGAACAUGGAGAUACUAGACUGCUGACUGUGCUGUCCUUUGUCGUAGCGAAAAUUGAAAAUAGAAAUGGAAGAAAAACUUACUUUUCAGAAAUUGAUGUGAAGGAGUGAAUACCUCCAUAAAUGCAGCAGAUCUCCUCCUCCUCCUGCAAAGCCAGGGCCUGCAGCUCAUCCCUGUGGUCACUUCAUCCACCCACAACUGAGGAACCCCCAGCACAUCCUCGUCUCAGUAACCAUGGAGGCAUCUGGAACCGUGGGCAGAAGUAAGAAGGAGCAGUAUUUUGUAGUUCUCCUAUAAAGAUCUUUCAUCCCUUCGGGUCAAUGAACUACUAGGUACUUCAUUUUCUUGUCACACAUUGCCGGACUUCAAACUAUAUUAUAAUGCUACAGUGACGAACACAGACCAACGCUGGCACAAAAAUAGAUGCUUAGAACAGUGGAACAAAAUAGACAGCCCAGAAAUCAACUUGCACACCUACCACCAUCUAAUCUUCAACAGAAAUGAGCAAUGGGGGAAAGAUCCCCUAUUCGAAAAAUAGUGCUGGGGUAUCUGACCAGUCAUAUGCAGAAUAAUGAAACUGAACCCCUACCUCUCACCAUAUAUCUAAAAUAACUCGAUAUGGAUGAAAGAUUUAAAUAUAAGUAUUAAAACUGUAAAAAUCUUGGAACAUAAUCUAAGAAAUACCAAUGUGGACAUAGGGCCUGGCAAAGAUUUCAUGGAGAAGACACUAAAAACAAUUGUACCAAAAACAAAAAUUGACAGAUGGGAUCUCAUUAAAGAGCUUCUGCACAGCAAAAGAAACUAGUAACACAGUAAACAGCCUGUAGAAUGGGGGAAACUAUUUGCAAACUCUGUAUCUGAUGAAGGUCUAAUAUUCAGAAUCUAUAAGGAAUUUAAACAAUUUGACAAGCAAGAACAAAAAAUCCAAUUAAAAAUGU